rnacentral:rRNA from 1 species
CAGCCGCCACGGUAAUACGAAGGGUGCUAGCGUUGUUCGGAAUUACUGGGCGUAAAGCGUGCGUAGGUGGUUUGUUAAGUUAGAGGUGAAAGCCUGGAGCUCAACUCCAGAAUUGCCUUUAAGACUGCCGAGCUAGCAGGUGAGAGAGGUAAGUGGAAUUCCGAGUGUAGAGGUGAAAUUCGUAGAUAUUCGGAAGAACACCAGUGGCGAAGGCGGCUUACUGGCUCAUACUGGACGCUGAGGUGCGAAAGCGUGGGGAGCAAACAGGAUUAGAUACCCCAGUAGUCCCUGUCUCUUAUAC